GGCUGGAUAGCCUAGCGGUCAAAGGCAGUGCUUCUAGCAAUGAUGAGGUCCCAGGUUGUAAUCCUGGUCUAGUCA
rnacentral:tRNA from 1 species